UGUGAAGCUGGGUGCUGGCUGAUUUCUCACAACCUCUCAGCCUCCAAAAACAAAGACAGGAAGCAGAGCCUCCUAUGAACUUUCUUCCCUUCUCCAUCUCACUGUGUGUGGCACCUACCAUUUACAACAUAAGUCACAAGGAAACCCACAAACCCAUUGCUGCCUCAGGGUUUUAGGUCCCUGGGGUCUUUUAUUGUCCCUUUUUAUUUUCUUCUGAGAUUGAUGUGGCUUUAGAUAGGAUGGUUUUCAGUGUUACAGAAGCACACGGAUGGAGAUAAACUGCCAGGGAAGCCGGGGGAACUGCUAGGGUAAAUUUCUGAUGGGAGAACUUCCAGUUUUCAUGGCUGUGGUCCUGAGACGACUGAAUGACCGGGCAGGAGAGGAUGCGGGGGAUAAGAGGAGGGAUUUAGAUGCCAGGGAUGGUGAAGGAAUGCCUCCUUCAGGUAGGCAAUUUUUUUUUCUCUCAUUCUGUCGACCAUGGUUUAUUUUCUUUUACAUCCCCUGCCCCAUGCUGUGAGAGCAAAAAUCCCCACUCUCCAGCCUCCCUUCUAAGUUUCCCUUCCGCUCCGUAUCUCCUGGGUAUCGGAAAAGAAUCUCGUGUGUAUCUUCAUAGUUGCCAGAUACAGGGAGGGGUCAGGCAUAAGCCUGCUAGGUACAUUAUACGCUGAAAUAACGGGAUGAUGUGAGCCAAUGUCUCCUCACUCCAGACAGGGCACCAAUGACAGAUGCAGUCCCAAUGACAGACCAGAGGAAUGAUGGCAUUCAAGUCCAGAGCUGAUGAGUAGGGCACAGGAAGGGGUGGCUGGAGUCUCAAGUGAGGGUCUGCUGACCCUCCCCACUCCUCCUCCUAUGAGGGACUGGUCUCUGAUCUCCCAGAGGGCCUCUUACCAUCCUGAGCAUCUCUUUGUGGGUAGUCACAGCAGCUUUGAUAAGGAUGUGUGGUGGUUUGAAUGAGGCGUCCCCCAUAAGACUCAGACGUUUGAUGACUUGGCCCCCGGUUGGUGGCACUGUUUGAGGAGGAUUAGGAGGUGUGACCUUGCUGAAGGAUGUAUGUCACUGAGGGCCCGCAUUGACAUUUCAAAAGACUUGUGCUACUUUGACCAUGACCUCCCAGUUUCCUCCUGCUGCCCCCGCCUUUAUAGACUCUGUAUCUCUAAGUCCCAAAUAAGCCCUUUCUUCUAGACGUGGCCUUGAUUGAGGUGGUUUUUUAUCCCAACCACAGAAAAGUGAUUAAUACAAGAUGCUAAUAGCUUUUUACUGCCCAGAGGAGCAUUCCUGUGUGGACUGGAGCCUCAUAGGGAGAGAGGAAGAGUCCUAGAGGUAAUUUUCAAGUCUAGCCACCCUCUCAAUUCAGGUUCUCCCUUCCCAGAUGAGUAGAGCCUGUGUCAAGCUGACCAAACACAAAACCAGAACUACAGCAACAUGCUUGCACCACCAUGCCCAUAAGUGCUGGGGAUUUGAACUUAGGUCCUCUUGGCCAUGUAACAGGCACUUUACCAACUGAGCAUCUCCCCAGCUUUGCAAGGACCUUUUGCAUGCAGAUAUCUUGCUGCCGGGUCCUCUGGAAUCUGUGAUGACCACACUUGCAUGUAGGGGCUCUUGUACUGGGCAGCUGGUUCAGGGUGGGCUAUGGACCAAUGGAAAGGCCUCCUCCAAAGCCAGGAUGUAGUUUUGAGAUCACAAUUAAGUCACCGGGUCCAUGAGUCCAGGUCUGUGAAGUGGCUGCUUGUCCUUUUAACACAGAGCAGCCGGUCGGACGGAUAGGCUUUUAAUAUUACUGGGUGUUUUGGUUCUAUUGCCUGAGCAUAAAAUUUAUUUUACCUGGAUCCUUGGAAUGAGGAACAUUUUAGUGGAUGGUUUGCUUAAUGGAUGAGAAAUCUUUCGCUAAUAGUGAGCCUGCCGCUUCCGCAGCUGCACAUUUAAUUUCUGCCAAUUAUGCCGACCCAUUUGCUUAUUCAUAAGUGUUCAAGGUACAGCUGCAAUGGCUUUUGGGGCCUGUCAAAACAUGCACUACCUGAGAAGACCAGGAAAUGAAGUGAGCCGCCUUCCACGGGCAGCUUCUGGCCCCUCUGAUCUGAGCAGCUGGUGCCUGUUGGGGCCAUAAAUGGAAACACCCUUUAUAGCUACGAGCUAAAAAGGUUGCAGGUACAUCUCUGACUGUGCUUCUUGAGUUCCGAGGUGGGGCCCAGGUGUCUCUCUGCCUCAAGGUCAGUACUAGAGCAUGGGAACUACUUCAGUUCUCUUCCCACAAAGUUUCCUUGGGCUCCGGUGGACUCUCUUCCCGGCACAGGCAUGGGAAGAGCUUCCUUUAUAGGCUCCGGCCGGACAGAGGCGAGUACACGCCUGCUCUCCAUCCGCAGUGUGUCCUCGUCCUUGUUCCUUAGAAGACCUGAGUUCUUGACUGGACACAGUUGGAGCGUGAGAUAGAGUGCAGCUCGCUGUCUUGAGGUGCAGCUGCCCAAGCCUGAGGACCCACAAAACAGCCAGAUGCUGCGGCAUUCAGUAGAACCUCGGAACUCAAGGCUGAGGGGACAGAGAUGGGAAAAAUCCCAGGACCUCAUGGCCAGCCAGUCAAGACAAAACAGUGAGCUUAGGGUCCCUGAGAGUCUGGGGGAAAAAAAAAAAAGGGUUGGAGGUUGGAAUUAAUUGGGGAAGAAAACUGACAUCCACUUUUGCCCUCCACAGGCAUCUGCUUAAGUGAGUACACACACACACACACACACGCACACACACACACU
rnacentral:lncRNA from 1 species